AUCGCUUCUCGGCCUUUUGGCUAAGAUCAAGUGUAGAAAAUAUAUUUAUUAACAUUAUGUCAAUAUAUAGUGGGUCUUUUUUCAAUGAGUAUUUUUGAAAUACUACUUUUAAUUUCUAACAUGGGAAGUGUAUCAGUAAAACCCAGGGACAAGAGAUGUGCAGGUCCUGAGAAACAAUA
rnacentral:snRNA from 1 species